rnacentral:rRNA from 1 species
GAUGAACGCUGGCGGCGUGCCUAAUACAUGCAAGUCGAGCGAACAGACGAGGAGCUUGCUCCUCUGACGUUAGCGGCGGACGGGUGAGUAACACGUGGAUAACCUACCUAUAAGACUGGGAUAACUUCGGGAAACCGGAGCUAAUACCGGAUAAUAUAUUGAACCGCAUGGUUCAAUAGUGAAAGACGGUUUUGCUGUCACUUAUAGAUGGAUCCGCGCCGCAUUAGCUAGUUGGUAAGGUAACGGUUUACCAAGGCAACGAUGCGUAGCCGACCUGAGAGGGUGAUCGGCCACACUGGAACUGAGACACGGUCCAGACUCCUACGGGAGGCAGCAGUAGGGAAUCUUGCGCAAUGGGCGAAAGCCUGACGGAGCAACGCCGCGUGAGUGAUGAAGGUCUUCGGAUCGUAAAACUCUGUUAUUAGGGAAGAACAAAUGUGUAAGUAACUAUGCACGUCUUGACGGUACCUAAUCAGAAAGCAACGGCUAACUACGUG